GGAAAGACGAAGGACACGUAUUGGUAAACCACCUCAGAUGAUAUUAGUUUUGCCACUGUGUACAAUAGCAAACAGGUGUGACGUGCAUGCGGCGGCCGCACUCGCGCAUGGCUUGGAGGAUGGAGAAUCUUUAACACGUAUUUCAUAUGGUUGGAUGGAACGCCGUGGAGCUAUAAUGGCUGGGCUGUUGGAGAACCCAAUAAUGCUGGUGGGCAGGAGAACUGUGUAGAGACGUGGUAUAAUCUGUCGUUCAAAGAUGACCCAUGCACAAGACCCGA